GGGAAUAUGCUAUGAGAUCUCUUAAGUACAAUGGCUCAGAUAUUCCAAAAAGUCAAGCUGAGGCUCCAUUGACUCCUGAUAAUUGAUCUUUGUUUUAUUAGCUUAUCCUUAUAAUUGAUCUUCACAAUUUUUCGUGCAGGAGAACCUCUUCUAUCCUGUUCUGCUUGGAGCAAUGGAUGCUUACAGAAAAUCUAUCGAAUCUCAUGUUCAACUUUGUGAGGUACUAUUUUUUCGAUGAGCUUGGGAGGUGUGUUUAUAAUCGCAAAAAGUUUACAGGUGGUAGAUGAAUGUUCGAUCAGUCUUUGAAUAAUUUUUAUGUAAAUGUUAAGUUUAAUCAAAUUAUUUUGUUAUAGUUUUUUAUGUAAAUAUUAGGUUUAAUCAAAUCAUUUUGUUAUAGUUUCUGAUCUAUUAUUAUUAUUAUUUAGUAGAGAUAGUGGUAUGAUCUGCGUACACUUUACCUCCCCAGACCUCACUAUGUGGGAAUAUACUAGAUAUGUUGUUGUUGUCU